rnacentral:tRNA from 1 species
GGGUAUAGCUCAGUGGUAGAGUGCCUGCCUAGUAUGCACAAGGUCCUGGGUUCCAUCCCCGGUAACUCCA